AGAGUUUGAUUCUGGCUCAGAACGAACGCUGGCGGCGUGGAUAAGACAUGCAAGUCGAACGGAACAUCAUGAGUAGCAAUACAAGUGAUGUUUAGUGGCGAACGGGUGCGUAACACGUGGAUACAUUCCGGGAAGCGGGGGAUAGCCCAGGGAAACUUGGAUUAAUACCGCAUGUGAUCGAAAGAUCAAAGACGGGGACCGCAAGGCCUGUCACUUCCCGAUUGGUCCGCGGCCUAUCAGCUAGUUGGCGGGGUAAAGGCCCACCAAGGCGACGACGGGUAGCUGGUCUGAGAGGACGACCAGCCACACUGGAACUGAGACACGGUCCAGACACCUACGGGUGGCAGCAGUCGAGAAUCUUUCACAAUGGGGGCAACCCUGAUGGAGCGACGCCGCGUGGAGGAUAAGGUCUUCGGAUUGUAAACUCCUGUCAUGUGUGAACAAGGUUGCGGGGCUAAUACCUUUGCAAAUUGAUGGUAACACAAGAGGAAGAGACGGCUAACUCUGUGCCAGCAGCCGCGGUAAUACAGAGGUCUCAAGCGUUGUUCGGAAUCACUGGGCGUAAAGGGUGCGUAGGUGGCGUGGUAAGUCAGAUGUGAAAGCCCGGGGCUCAACCUCGGAAUUGCAUCCGAUACUGCCAUGCUCGAGUACUGAAGAGGUGACUAGAAUUCUAGGUGUAGCAGUGAAAUGCGUAGAUAUCUAGAGGAAUACCAAAGGCGAAGGCAGGUCACUGGGCAGUUACUGACACUGAGGCACGAAGGCCAGGGGAGCGAACGGGAUUAGAUACCCCGGUAGUCCUGGCAGUAAACGGUGCACGUUUGGUAUGGGCGCAAUCGACCGCGCCCGUGCCGGAGCUAACGCGUUAAACGUGCCGCCUGGGAAGUACGGUCGCAAGAUUAAAACUCAAAGAAAUUGACGGGGACCCGCACAAGCGGUGGAGUAUGUGGCUUAAUUCGAUGCAACGCGAAGAACCUUACCUGGCCUUGACAUGCACAUAGUAGAAGCCUGAAAGGGUGACGAGGUAGCAAUACCAGUGUGCACAGGUGCUGCAUGGCUGUCGUCAGCUCGUGUCGUGAGAUGUUGGGUUAAG
rnacentral:rRNA from 1 species